UCUUCCUUGCCGAGCCACUCCCGCAAGCCCGACUUCUCCCCCCGUGCCCUAACCGGCCGCACGGGCGGUUUCUCCUCCCCGAGUGACCACUUCUCCUUCUUUCCCUUCUGAGCUUCACAAUCGCUGCACGUCGCUGGCCAAGCUUCAACUCCUCUGUGUUCUCGCUGCCGCCACUUGAGGCCGCACCUCUGUGAAGCCGCCGAUCGCCUCCUAGUCGUCUCCACCAUCGCCGCCCCAUCAGGCUGAUUUCCGUGCCCUAGUUGUGGGUUCACAGCCGCCGGCGCCGCAUGGAGCAGCACCGACGACGAGUUUCUUCUCCGCUGUGCUCGUGCCCUAGCUAGCCGCCGGCGCCUCUUUCAUUCCGAGCAGUGCAGAUUUGACCUAGGGCUCGAGUUCGGUGGCACAUCUCUCCCCUUUUCUCGAUUCAGUCACGUAAGUUUACUGUGAUAGUGCUGAAUUAGGGUUACCGGUGGCCGGAUUGGAGGGAUAUCGUCACUUCCGGCCAGAUCCGAGGAAAAACUGUAGCUUGCUGCUGGAAUCAACAUUGUCCCACUGUUUAAGUUCUGCUCCGACAGUGAGGAAGAACUUUUGGAGCUGCCAAAUCUGAGUGGUAUCGCAGCGUGUACCUCCGACAACGAUCAGCGGUGAAAUCCCUCAAUCUGGGGCUUUGACGCAAGACGAGUAUCUCGGAGUCUGAUUGGACCUUUCUAUUUUCGG